GACGAACGCUGGCGGCGUGCUUAACACAUGCAAGUCGAACGGAAAGGCCCUGCUUUUGUGGGGUGCUCGAGUGGCGAACGGGUGAGUAACACGUGAGUAACCUGCCCUUGACUUUGGGAUAACUUCAGGAAACUGGGGCUAAUACCGGAUAGGAGCUCCUGCUGCAUGGUGGGGGUUGGAAAGUUUCUGCGGUUGGGGAUGGACUCGCGGCUUAUCAGCUUGUUGGUGGGGUAGUGGCUUACCAAGGCUUUGACGGGUAGCCGGCCUGAGAGGGUGACCGGCCACAUUGGGACUGAGAUACGGCCCAGACUCCUACGGGGGGCAGCAGUGGGGAAUAUUGCACAAUGGGCGGAAGCCUGUUGCAGCAACGCCGCGUGCGGGAUGACGGCCUUCGGGUUGUAAACCGCUUUCGCCUGUGACGAAGCGUGAGUGACGGUAAUGGGUAAAGAAGCACCGGCUAACUACGUG
rnacentral:rRNA from 1 species